GAUGAACGCUGGCGGCGUGCCUAAUACAUGCAAGUCGAGCGAACGGACGAGAAGCUUGCUUCUCUGCUGUUAGCGGCGGACGGGUGAGUAACACGUGGAUAACCUACCUAUAAGACUGGGAUAACUUCGGGAAACCGGAGCUAAUACCGGAUAAUAUUUUGAACCGCAUGGUUCAAAAGUGAAAGACGGUCUUGCUGUCACUUAUAGAUGGAUCCGCGCUGCAUUAGCUAGUUGGUAAGGUAACGGCUUACCAAGGCAACGAUGCAUAGCCGACCUGAGAGGGUGAUCGGCCACACUGGAACUGAGACACGGUCCAGACUCCUACGGGAGGCAGCAGUAGGGAAUAUUCCGCAAUGGGCGAAAGCCUGACGGAGCAACGCCGCGUGAGUGAUGAAGGUCUUCGGAUCGUAAAACUCUGUUAUUAGGGAAGAACAUAUGUGUAAGUAACUGUGCACAUCUUGACGGUACCUAAUCAGAAAGCCACGGCUAACUACGUG
rnacentral:rRNA from 1 species